AUUGAACGCUGGCGGCAGGCCUAACACAUGCAAGUCGAGCGGUAGAGAGGAGCUUGCUCCUCUUGAGAGCGGCGGACGGGUGAGUAAUGCCUAGGAAUCUGCCUGGUAGUGGGGGAUAACGUUCGGAAACGGACGCUAAUACCGCAUACGUCCUACGGGAGAAAGCAGGGGACCUUCGGGCCUUGCGCUAUCAGAUGAGCCUAGGUCGGAUUAGCUAGUUGGUGAGGUAAUGGCUCACCAAGGCGACGAUCCGUAACUGGUCUGAGGGGAUGAUCAGUCACACUGGAACUGAGACACGGUCCAGACUCCUACGGGAGGCAGCAGUGGGGAAUAUUGGACAAUGGGCGAAAGCCUGAUCCAGCCAUGCCGCGUGUGUGAAGAAGGUCUUCGGAUUGUAAAGCACUUUAAGUUGGGAGGAAGGGCAGUAAAUUAAUACUUUGCUGUUUUGACGUAC
rnacentral:rRNA from 1 species